AAAUGUUGUGCUCAGAGGAGGAGUCAGACUUCAUUUUGACCCUGCUUCAUGGUCAGUGGUUAUAAUUGUGUGAAAAGGCAGCAGUGGGCAUUAACCAGAGUGAUACUGAUACAGCAAGUGGCCAAACGUCCAAGACAUUUUAACUGUGGAAUAGAAAAAACAUCUGGACUGGAAAAGUGUUGUGGGAGAUAAUCAAAUCCUGCUAAAGGCACUGCCUAUAGAAGAUGAUGUAGAAAUGUCUGAAAAGAAGUUCAAGCCGUACCUCUGUGGCUACAGAGAAGCUCUCAGCUCUCAGAUGUCUCAGAUGUCAGAUGGGUGCAGCUCAGAGGAAGUGCUUCUGUUGCCAUUGGAAAGGAAGGAACCAUGAGCAUCAGGGUUCAGGGAACACAAGCGAAAUCGCUUUCAACUCUGGAGGACUUCAAUGUCUGAAACUUCUUGUUCUUAAUGCUAUUGUUCUUCUGAAGAAUAAUCUAAACAAUUGUGGAAAAACCUAGGACUGAUAUCUAAGGUGCUAGCACCGAACAAAGACUGAUGCUUAGCAAAGCAUGCAAAGUUUCUCAGGUAGACCAAUACAGAGUAGGGCAAAAUCUUAACUUAGACAUCCUAUCUUGUCAGGAGCCAUCAUAACACCUCAAAAUGCAAGAUUUAAUUCAUCACCUUGUAUAAUACUGGACACAUGAUGCAUAAUAAGGGAUCUAAAUAUUUUAGAUAUUAUUUUUUUCCUAAAUUAAUAUAUUAUUCAUCAUCACAGGUAAUAUGAAGGUUCAUUGGGAGAGAUGUAAGAGAUGUGAAGGAAAAAUGUCAUAUUCUUUCUGUAGCAGUGAGCUGCAUUCAUAUCUUGAUGUUCCCCAACUGAAAUAAUAUUGACUGAAAACAUGAGUAUAAAUGUUGAAAGUUUAUUAAGAACACAUUCUACCUGCAAUUUCUAGAGAAAAAUGAGUAAGCUAGUUUAAAACAUUUUGAAAAUAAAUAAGAGAAGAUAAUCUCAUAUGCCACAUCUGAGCCGUUCCUGUGUUAUUCUGGUUGAGAUAAUUGACAAAACAAGUAUUUGCAAUGGGAGACUGCAGCAUGACAGGGAUUCAAAUGAAUGCAUUAUAAUAGUCAAGUGUUUAAUCACUUUUCAAUUCUUGUAAAACAAAGACCAUUUUCCAGCAUUGUCUGGACUGAGCUUGCUGUAGUCAAUGGGUGUUCAGCUCCUUUGCAUGAGACAAUUGAGUUCACCACCCUGGAUAAUGAAGACCUACUGUUUUUGAGACUAUAACUCAGCAGGUGAUUGAAUAUUAUCCGCUUCACAGAAAAAUACAAGUAAAAUGAGUUCUUCGCUUGUAAAUAAUUUGCUCAAAAAAGAGAAAGCAAAUGUAUUUCUCAGGUAACAAUCUCAGCUCUGCUGCAUGGUGCAGUGAUUUUUCCCUAGCCAGUUCUGGAUUUCUUAUCAUCAGCCACCCCAAAAAGGGAAUGUUAAUGAGGGGUUUUGUGGAAAGUCUCGUUGCUUAACUGAACUUGGAAAUUCACAUGAAGAGUUUGAUGCAGAAUAUGGCUUGACUGUAUUUCCUUCUCCUCAGCACAAUGGGAAGAAAGGGAAGGUUGGAAUAAUCUUCUUUGUAAUCUAAAAAUAGCUCUUAGUUUUUUCUUUCUCCCACAUCCCAAAGUUAAUCCGUGUGGUUUGACAGCCCUGCAAAUGUUCUCACAGUCUUUACCAGACUUUAGUCUAUAUUAAUAAAGCAAAAUGAAGGGUUUAGAUUGUUUUGCUUUUAGAAUAUUCAUAAUAUU